AUGCUGCUUAUUCUAAACUGGCGUAUAUACAAAUACGUAUUCAAUGGGGACGUUGAAAAAAUGUAUCGGCAAAUAGGCGUACAUAAAGACGAUCAAGAUUUUCAACGUAUUAUGUUCCGAAGAUCCCCCAUCAGUCCUUUGCGCGACUUUAAAUUAAAAACAGUUACCUUUGGCGUAAACUGUGCCCCAUAUUUAGCCAUUCGAACGCUCCACGAAUUGGCAGAAAACACCAAGUCAGAAUUUCCUCUGGCGACCCAGGUGUUAAAAACACAAACGUAUGUAGACGAUAUUCUGUCUGGAAGUCACAGUCUUCCACAAGCAUACGAAUCAUUAUCACAAGUAAUCCAAGCCCUCACAUCCGCAGGGUUUCCAUUAAAAAAGAUUACGGCGAAUCACCCAAGUAUAUUAAAAAAUAUACCAAAAGAAAAUUUGUUGGACACUAAUUUCCUUAUUUUCGAAAAGGAAAGUACAACAAAAACAUUAGGCAUCCAAUGGAAUGCGAUAUCAGACCAGUUCUCAUACACGACAGAGUCCAUAUCCGCAUUAUCAGCCAUAACGAAAAGACAGAUUUUAUCCUCGGUGGCAAAACUUUUCGACCCCGCAGGAUGGCUUUCGCCAAUUAUGAUCCAAGCGAAAAUCUUAAUACAAGAAUUAUGGCUAGAUGGAACCGACUGGGACGAACAAGUGAAACCUCUUCGCUUAGAAAAAUGGUCCCAGUUCGCAAAAAAUCUGAAUGACAUUUCUCAGAUACAAAUUCCACGAUGGGUAAACUACUCCCCCGAACACAAAGUCGAAUUACAUGGCUUUUGUGACGCCUCAGAAAAGGCAUACUGCGCUACUAUCUAUGUGCGCACGCAAAGUGAUACCACGAUAACAAGCCAUUUAUUAGUAGCAAAAGCAAAGGUGGCACCUUUAAAAACUAUAAGUCUCCCACGACUUGAGUUAUGUGGCGCACUACUACUUUCAAAAUUAGUAGCCAUGGUGCAAAUGCAUUUAAAUAUGACAAAAUGCAAACUAUAUAUGUGGUCCGAUUCAGAAAUUGUACUAGCCUGGUUGGAAAAACCACCACAUGCAUGGAAGACGUAUAUUUCUAACCGAACGUCUCAAAUUCUUGACCUAGUGGGAUCAGCCACUUGGCGUCACGUAGCCAGUGCUGACAAUCCUGCCGAUCUAGGCACAAGAGGGUGCAAGCCACUGCACCUUGCCACUACCACCCUCUGGUGGAAUGGCCCCCGAUGGUUGAUAGAAUCUCCUGAUUCUUGGCCACAAUCCCCCAUGCGCAACAUUAUCGCCCCAGAAGGUCGAAAAAUCGCCUCCUUUCAUACAUUAUUGGAUGAUACCGACAUCAUUGAACGAUUUUCAUCGUUUCCAAGAGCUCUCAGAGUAGUUGCUUAUAUGUUCAAAUUUAUAGAGCAACUCAAAAGCAAAAUCAAGGGAUCACAAAAUUCCCCAUGCAACACAGUGUCGCACCUAGAGUUACAAAAGGCAAAGGUCGCACUAAUUGCAUACACACAAGCGCGCUACUUCAGCCGCGAUAUAUCAGCACUAAGAGAAUCGAAGCCGAUUGAUAAAAAGAGCUCACUCUUAGUUCUCAACCCAUUUCUGGACACGAAAGGUCUGCUUCGUGCCAAUGGUCGGCUCGCUAAUUCGAGCCUAACAUACAAUGAACGCCACCCCAUAAUAAUUCCAGAGAGGUCACCAUUUGCCACAUUAUUCCUCCACUACAUCCACACCUUAAUGCUACACGCCGAACAUCGUCUCAUGCAACAGAUGGUACGCCAGGAGUAUUAUAUCCCCCGUCUUAAGCCGCAAAUGAAGAAGUGCAUCUUCACGUGCAAGAUUUGCACUAUGCACAAGCAGAAGAUGCAAACGCAGAUUAUGGCAGCACUUCCACCGGAACGCUGCAAUUUCGCUCUGCCUUUCACCACAACAGGUGUUGAUUUUGCUGGGCCUUUCCAGGUAAAGGCUUCUAUGUUAAGGUCUCCCACUCUCAUGAAAGGCUAUGUGGCUGUCUUUGUAUGUUUCACGACAAAGGCAGUACACCUUGAGCUGUGUAGUAAUCUGACGACGGAGGCUUUUCUCGCGGCAUUUGCUCGCUUCGUCGCUCGACGUGGCUACCCAUCAAAGAUCAUGAGCGAUAAUGGCAAAACGUUCAUUGGAGCUCAACGAGCCACAGAAAAGCAAUUUGUGGAUUUCUUAAAACAAGUGUCACCCGACAUCGUACAAAAGUACGCCCCCCAAGGUAUCAAUUGGCAAUUUAUACCCCCAAGCGCACCUCAUAUGGGCGGUUUAUGGGAAUCCGCUGUAAAAAGCUUCAAAACCCAUUUCAAACGGGUAGCUGGAAAUUAUAAAUUCAAUUACGAAGAGUUCACGACGCUAUUAAAUCGAAUUGAAGCCGUUCUCAAUUCACGGCCACCCACAGUACUAUCGCAAGACCCCUCAGAUUUCACCGCCUUAACUCCAGGGCAUUUUCUAAAAGGAGCACCCAUCCUGGCCAUUCCUGAGCCAGGCGUGGAGUCGCUAUCUCUAUUAAAUCGAUGGGAACGAAUUAAAAUUCUCCAUCAUGAUUUCAGCCGCCGAUGGAAGGACGAAUAUAUAAAGGAUCUCCACAAAAGAUACCGUUGGAAGACUCCUGAACAAGCGCCUAAGCUUGGAGACUGUGUCCUCAUUCAUGAUGAUUGUCUGCCCCCUACCGAGUGGCGGCUUGGCCGCAUAGAAAAGCUACAUUACGGCUCCGACGGUCACAUACGAAUCGUUGAUCUCCGUACGCAAAACGGAACGCUAACCCGACCGCUCGUGAAGCUAUGCUUUCUGCCAACUUCCGAUGAUCGCGAAUCCGAAAACCUCAAAAAUAAACCGGUACUAUCGCUACACAAUAAACGAACCAAAUGAAACCAAUAAAACACGAGAAAGUACGCAAUAACAACCCGUUAAAAAAUAACAACCGUCCGAAAAUAACAAACCGUGAAUAAAGAUAACAAACCGUACAUAAACUUAACAAACCAUAAAGGAAACUAACAAAAAAUGGUCGAUCCAUACGACGGCCCACUCAUGCCACAUAUCGUGGCACGAUUGCCAAUAUCUAAUUGUAUGACAGAUUUCUAAUUGACAAUCUCAUUUAUACAUAGAUCACCAUGGAUGUAGAUAUACCAGUCGUAACCGCGCCAACAGCUCGGGCUACCAAUGCGCCACGCACCAUGCCUACUCCAGCGCCCCGAACUGUGGUGGCAACGACGCCGGCAACUGCACCGGCAACAACCACGGCACCGGUACUGGCGACCGCGUCUGCAGCGGCCCCUCAAUCCGCACUUCGUGGUGGCACCCAACCACCACCACCCCCAUCACGGACCACGGAAGCCCUAAGGUGCCCCAUCUGUCGGCGCCCACAUCGCCUGCACCAUUGUGGCAUAUUUAGGGGUAUGCGACCCGUGCAACGGCAGCAAGUGGCCCAGGCCCACGGGCAUUGCCAUAACUGCCUGUCACAUACCCAUGGAACUGCAGCGUGUGAGUCACGAGGGCGGUGCCAAAUAUGCCACCGGCCGCAUCACACGCUGUUACAUCGCAGCACGGCACGCGAAGUGAAUCGGCCACCCAUCCAGCACGGCCGCAUACCCCGCUUCCAAUCCGCAGCUCGUGGCGCGCCCCAGCGAAGCGUAACCUCGUUGCGGCGUCGGCAGGCUGGACCACCACCUCGUCGGUCUACGGGGCUGAGCAGCGUUGUGGCAACGCUGCAACAGUUGCAGCGCCUUUUAGACUAAACAGUCGUUUAGGGGGGCCGGGAUGGCUAAAUGAGCAUCUGACCCCCCUUAAUAUAAUAACGUACACACCAUACUCAACACGGUUACACCAUCCACAUCAUCCACACAUCAUACUCCACACCUCUACACCAAUAUUCAUCCCACACACACCAACUCAUCAUCAUCUACACCACACCUUUCACACCACACACGAGGACACCAAACACAAUCAACAAAAGGGACUGGCGGACGGCGCCAGCCUCCCUUUUUAAUACGAUCUGCACGCUUGUACGCAUCUCCGGUUAACUAAGCUUUUUUCCCCGAUUUUCCGUCGUCGCCAAAUCAUAGAAAUAACUUUGGUGAUAAAUUUUUGGAAGAAAAAUGGAUUACUAGUGGAAGCUUAGGAUCACGGGAUACUGUGCUUGUUUUUCGCCAUAAGAAUUUGGAACAGAA